GUCGAGCGAACGGACGAGAAGCUUGCUUCUCUGAUGUUAGCGGCGGACGGGUGAGUAACACGUGGAUAACCUACCUAUAAGACUGGGAUAACUUCGGGAAACCGGAGCUAAUACCGGAUAAUAUUUUGAACCGCAUGGUUCAAUAGUGAAAGACGGUUUUGCUGUCACUUAUAGAUGGAUCCGCGCCGCAUUAGCUAGUUGGUAAGGUAACGGCUUACCAAGGCCACGAUGCGUAGCCGACCUGAGAGGGUGAUCGGCCACACGUGGAACUGAGACACGGUCCAGACUCCUACGGGAGGCAGCAGUAGGGAAUCUUCCGCAAUGGGCGAGAGCCUGACGGAGCAACGCCGCGUGAGUGAUGAAGGUCUUCGGAUCGUAAAACUCUGUUAUUAGGGAAGAACAAAUGUGUAAGUAACUAUGCACGUCUUGACGGUACCUAAUCAGAAAGCCACGGCUAACUACGUGCCAGCAGCCGCGGUAAUACGUAGGUGGCAAGCGUUAUCCGGAAUUAUUGGGCGUAAAGCGCGCGUAGGCGGUUUUUUAAGUCUGAUGUGAAAGCCCACGGCUCAACCGUGGAGGGUCAUUGGAAACUGGAAAACUUGAGUGCAGAAGAGGAAAGUGGAAUUCCAUGUGUAGCGGUGAAAUGCGCAGAGAUAUGGAGGAACACCAGUGGCGAAGGCGACUUUCUGGUCUGUAACUGACGCUGAUGUGC
rnacentral:rRNA from 1 species